AACCGGGAGAUAGCUGGUUCUCCCCGAAAGCUAUUUAGGUAGCGCCUCGUGAAUUCAUCUCCGGGGGUAGAGCACUGUUUCGGCUAGGGGGCCAUCCCGGCUUACCAACCCGAUGCAAACUGCGAAUACCGGAGAAUGUUAUCACGGGAGACACACGGCGGGUGCUAACGUCCGUCGUGAAGAGGGAAACAACCCAGACCGCCAGCUAAGGUCCCAAAGUCAUGGUUAAGUGGGAAACGAUGUGGGAAGGCCCAGACAGCCAGGAUGUUGGCUUAGAAGCAGCCAUCAUUUAAAGAAAGCGUAAUAGCUCACUGGUCGAGUCGGCCUGCGCGGAAGAUGUAACGGGGCUAAACCAUGCACCGAAGCUGCGGCAGCGACACUGUGUGUUGUUGGGUAGGGGAGCGUUCUGUAAGCCUGUGAAGGUGGCCUGUGAGGG
rnacentral:rRNA from 1 species